CGAAUCGAUAAUAUUCUUAUAAUCUUACAAAACAAUUAAAUUAACGUGAAUUUAUCAUUAUACAGAGGCUCUCGUACACACAAUGGUGUCGACAUAAUUUGCAAACCAGGGAUUUCUGUCAUGACACCAUUUGCUGCGAAGAUUUGACGAAAAUCACGUUCUUAUUCAAACAACAACAAACCAUAUAACAAUGGAUUGUAUAUUCAAGGAAGCGGAGAAGCCGAAGAUAUAAAAUGGAUAUUUCAGGUGGUCUUGGAAGAUCUGCUGGAAAGAUAUGGCGUGUUGGUCUGAUGGGGUUGAACAGUACAAAAGAUAAUGUAAAUCUUGUACUAAAAGCCUUCAAGGAUGCCAUGGAAAACGUGAAAUUACAAAACAAUC